rnacentral:rRNA from 1 species
GGAAGAAAAAUCCGGAUGUAAAUAAUGUUCGGACGUGACGGUACCUCACAAGAAAGCACCGGCUAACUUAGUGCCAGCAGCCGCGGUAAUACUAGGGGUGCUAGCGUUGUCCGGAAUCACUGGGCGUAAAGGGUCCGUAGGCGUUUUGCUAAGUUGAUUGUUAAAUCCAUCGGCUCAACCGAUGAUCUGCAAUCAAAACUGGUAGAAUAGAGUUCGAGAGAGGAAAGUGGAAUUCCUGGUGUAGCGGUGACAUGCGUAGAUAUCAGGAGGAACACCAAUGGCGAAGGCAGCUUUCUGGCUCGAUACUGACGCUGAGGGACGAAAGCGUGGGGAGCGAACAGGAUUAGAUACCCUGGUAGUCCACGCCGUAAACGAUGAGUACUUGAUGAUGGAGGAUUCGACCCCUUCGUUGUCGUAGCUAACGCGAUAAGUACUCCGCCU